GAUGAACGCUGGCGGCGUGCCUAAUACAUGCAAGUCGAACGAAUCUUCUUCGGAAGAUGAGUGGCGAACGGGUGAGUAAUACAUAGGUAACCUGCCCCUGUGCGGGAGAUAACAGGAGGAAACUCCUGCUAAUACCGCAUAGCCAUGAGCACCGCAUGGAGCUCAUGCCAAAUAUCCUUUCGGGGAUAGCGCAGGGAUGGACCUAUGGCGCAUUAGCUGGUUGGCGGGGCAACGGCCCACAAAGGCAACGAUGCGUAGCCGGCCUGAGAGGGCGGACGGCCACAUUGGGACUGAGACACGGCCCAGACUCCUACGGGAGGCAGCAGUAGGGAAUUUUCGGCAAUGGGGGAAACCCUGACCGAGCAACGCCGCGUGAGCGAAGAAGGCCUUCGGGUCGUAAAGCUCUGUUGUAAAGGAAGAACGGCGCAUACAGGAAAUGGUAUGCGAGUGACGGUACUUUACCAGAAAGCCACGGCUAACUACGUGCCAGCCGCCGCAGUAA
rnacentral:rRNA from 1 species